AUCCUGGCUCAGGAUGAACGCUAGCUACAGGCUUAACACAUGCAAGUCGAGGGGCAGCAUUGGGGUAGCAAUACUCAGAUGGCGACCGGCACACGGGUGAGUAACACGUAUCCAACCUGCCGCUUACUCGGGGAUAGCCUUCGAAAGAAAGAUUAAUACCCGAUGGUAUAAAGAGUUCGCAUGUUCUCUUUAUUAAAGAAUUUCGGUAAGCGAUGGGGAUGCGUUCCAUUAGAUAGUUGGCGGGGUAACGGCCCACCAAGUCUACGAUGGAUAGGGGUUCUGAGAGGAAGGUCCCCCACAUUGGAACUGAGACACGGUCCAAACUCCUACGGGAGGCAGCAGUGAGGAAUAUUGGUCAAUGGACGAGAGUCUGAACCAGCCAAAAGUAGCGUGAAGGAUGACUGCCCUAUGGGUUGUAAACUUCUUUUAUAAGGGAAUAAAGUGAGGGACGUGUCCCUUUUUGUAUGUACCUUAUGAAUAAGGAUCGGCUAACUCCGUGCCAGCCGCCGC
rnacentral:rRNA from 1 species